GACGAACGCUGGCGGCGUGCCUAAUACAUGCAAGUCGAGCGGACCAAAGGGAGCUUGCUCCUGGAGGUUAGCGGCGAACGGGUGAGUAACACGUGGGCAACCUGCCUGUAAGACUGGGAUAACAUCGAGAAAUCGGUGCUAAUACCGGAUAAUAAAAAGAACUGCAUGGUUCUUUUUUGAAAGAUGGUUUCGGCUAUCACUUACAGAUGGGCCCGCGGCGCAUUAGCUAGUCGGUGAGGUAACGGCUCACCAAGGCGACGAUGCGUAGCCGACCUGAGAGGGUGAUCGGCCACACUGGGACUGAGACACGGCCCAGACUCCUACGGGAGGCAGCAGUAGGGGAAUCUUCCGCAAUGGACGAAAGUCUGACGGAGCAACGCCGCGUGAGUGAUGAAGGUUUUUCGGAUCGUAAAACUCUGUUGUUAGGGAAGAACAAGUGCCGUUCGAAAGGGCGGCACCUUGACGGUACCUAACGAGAAAGCCACGGCUAACUACGUGCCAGCAGCCG
rnacentral:rRNA from 1 species